UUUAGUUGGGAACUCUAAAGGAACCGCCGGUGAUAAGCCGGAGGAAGGUGGGGAUGACGUCAAGUCCUCAUGGCCCUUACGCGCUGGGCUACACACGUGCUACAAUGGCGGUGACAGUGGGCAGCAAUCCCGCGAGGGUGAGCUAAUCUCCAAAAGCCGUCUCAGUUCGGAUUGUUCUCUGCAACUCG
rnacentral:rRNA from 1 species